UACGGAGGGAGCUAGCGUUGUUCGGAAUUACUGGGCGUAAAGCGCGCGUUAGGCGGCUUUGUAAGUUAGAGGUGAAAGCCCGGAGCUCAACUCCGGAACUGCCUUUAAAACGUGCAUCGCUUGAAUCCAGGAGAGGUGAGUGGAAUUCCGAGUGUAGAGGUGAAAUUCGUAGAUAUUCGGGAAGAACACCAGUGGCGAAGGCGGCUCACUGGACUGGG
rnacentral:rRNA from 1 species